rnacentral:rRNA from 1 species
GAUGAACGCUAGCGGCAGGCCUAAUACAUGCAAGUCGAACGGUGUCUCCGGACAUAGUGGCGCACGGGUGCGUAACACGUAUGCAACCUACCUUACAUUGGGGGAUAGCCUUUCGAAAGGGAGAUUAAUACCGCAUAAGACAGUAGCUGGGCAUCCAGCAGCUGUUAAAGAUUUAUCGAUGUAAGCUGGGCAUGCGUCCAAUUAGCUAGUUGGUGAGGUAACGGCUCACCAAGGCAAUGAUUGGUAGGGGAACUGAGAGGUCAAUCCCCCACACUGGCACUGAGAUACGGGCCAGACUCCUACGGGAGGCAGCAGUAGGGAAUAUUGGGCAAUGGACGCAAGUCUGACCCAGCCAUGCCGCGUGCAGGAUGAAGGCGUUAUGCGUUGUAAACUGCUUUUAUACAGGAAGAAACGACUCUUGCGAGAGGCAUUGACGGUACUGUAUGAAUAAGCACCGGCUAACUCCGUG